CAUGGAGGCACUCCACAGGUCACCAUGGUGGGCCCGGGGGGGCGGGAGAAGUUUCUGCUCACAGCCGGAUUUGAGAAGGCCCUGGUCGCUCUAUGGCAACCUCUGCCUGUGCACCAUGGGCCCUUUAGUUCUGUUCGAGGCCCCUCUUUUGCUGUGUGACCUUGGACAAGUCACUUAGCUUCUCUAAGCCUCACUUUGCUCACCUGUGAAAUGUGGACAGUAACUGUGCCCACCUCCAGUGCCCAUUUCAGGAACCAGAGGCAAAGCAUGAAGGGCCAAGCACAGAAAGCACUUCCCGUGGGCCCGCCUGUUGGAGACCCUCACGCGUCAGCGCCCGGAAAUGACACUGGGAGCUCAAGGCCAGUGGUGGCCCUUCCAGCAAACCGGACACCCCAGGGGACGUCUGGGCAGUGGGGAGUGGCCUAAGCAGAUGAAAAACCUGGGGCCCACAGCUUGGAGUUCAGGUCCUAGCCAUCGGCCCCCAUCUCUGUGCCGCCGUAUCCCUGCCCGGGCAAGGGGAGGACAGUCAUGCCAUCUGUGCGGGGUGGACAGGCAGCGUCUGUGGGAGAACCAGCAUCACUAAAGCAGACAAUGUGGGAGGCCCUCACCCGGGAGUCCCUCGGGGAAGGGCAGCUGCUUCAGGAAGGAGGCCGGAGGGUCCCCUCAGUGCAGGAAGCCAGCUCAGCCGCCCCAGGCCCAGAUGGGGAGGGGGCGAGGUGGGGGAUAUGGAGCCGGGCCCCCUUGCAAGGAGCCCUGUGCAGAUGCAUGCAAGGACAGGGGCUGGCCAGCCCCAAAGCCCAGCUGUGUGGCCUGGGGCUGCUCUGGAGGGGCUGCUAGCUUAGCUAUCUCGGGGCCUUGAACUUUCUAUUCUGUUUUGCAAUCAGUUCAGAAGGCGGCAUUGCUAGAUUCCCUUCUUAUCACAGAGAAACUUCUAGCACAACAAUAGCUGAUUGUACUGCUCUCUGGGGUGCGGCUGCAUUCCUGGACACCCCCCACGUUUUUUUUUUUUUUUCGUGGUAUCUUUGGAACUAUAAUGGAUCUCAUUGUGAUUGGUCUGUUCAGGGGACAGUGUGGCCCUUGAAUUUAGAAGCGUGAAAGGGUAGUGGGGGCUGGGGAGAGGGUGGCAAAGGAGAGUGGGGGUGGGAGGGAACCCAGAGACAACCCGUGAGACAGCCAAGGGACAUCUCAGAGCAUCUCGGCGGCGUCCUGUUGCAUAACGCACCUGGAAACUGCAUCCCCUGGACUGGCUGGGUUUGAAAAUAUGUAGUUAUUUGUCAAACCACCAAUGUUUAUUUUCAUUCAGUUAUUAAGAAAUAAAAAGGGGUAGAUAAUUUUCACUCCCUGCCUGUGCCUGUCCGGCAGGACUCGGCAGCAGGUCGAUCCGGCGCAGACUCAUCUGAGUGCGACGUAGCGGCAGCCAGUCACAUCGUGUCCUCCGGAGGCCGCCUGCUGCUGCGCGGAGCCAGCGUCCAGGACCUGGGGCCGGGGGACCAGAGCUGGGACAGGCCCAGCCCCUGGGCGGCAUAGCUAUGUGGCCCCGGGAACACUGGCUCUCCAAGGCACAAGGCGUUUUCACCGGCUGCGUCCCAUUCAGUCUUCCCAGCAUGAUCCCAGCUCGGAGAAGAGUGAGAAAGCCGAGGCCCAGAGAGGUCAAGGAACCUGCUCAAGGUCACGCAGCUGGGACGUGGUCAAGCCCCACUGAGUCCCUCUGAAGCCAGGCUGGGGCCUCCAGUGAGUGGGGAAAGCCUAGAGGGGGUGCCGCAGAGCACGCACAGGAUCCACCAGACGCCCUCGGAGGCCCUGCGGAAAGGCCAAGGGUUCUGAGAGCUCAACUCGGACCUUGGCAGGGGCCCAGGAGGACGACAGGACAACCCCCAGGCUCCUCCCUGCCUCGGUGACCCUCCCCACCCCACCCCACCAACGUCUGAGCAAGACUUGCUGGAGCCAAUGCAGGAGAGAAAGCUGCUGUUGCUACCGCCAGCCCAGCUCAGCUCCAACCUUCCUGGCUGUUGGCCUGCGAGGGCCCCGGGAGGAUAGAAAGGGACAUAUUUCAAGGGAGAAGGGACGUUUCCUUACAGGGAAACAAGCUGAGUGGUCCGUAACAUACCUGAGGCGUUAUUGCGAGGGACAGGCAGAGCUGGACUGGGGACCCAG
rnacentral:lncRNA from 10 species